rnacentral:rRNA from 1 species
UACAGAGGGCGCAAGCGUUGUUCGGAAUUAUUGGGCGUAAAGCGCGUGUAGGCGGCUUUGCAAGUCGGGUGUGAAAGCCCUCGGCUCAACCGAGGAAGUGCGCCCGAAACUGCAGAGCUUGAGUACCGGAGAGGAUGGCGGAAUUCCCCAAGUAGAGGUGAAAUUCGUAGAUAUGGGGAGGAACACCGGUGGCGAAGGCGGCCAUCUGGACGGAUACUGACGCUGAGACGCGAAAGCGUGGGGAGCAAACAGG